GCGGGCGUGGUAUAACGGCCAUUACAUGAUCUUGCCAAGAUCAAAAAGAGGGUUCGACUCCCUUCGCCCGCU
rnacentral:tRNA from 1 species